rnacentral:rRNA from 1 species
UACGUAGGGUGCAAGCGUUGUCCGGAAUUAUUGGGCGUAAAGAGCUCGUAGGCGGUUUGUCGCGUCUGCUGUGAAAACUGGGGGCUCAACCCCCCAGCCUGCAGUGGGUACGGGCAGACUAGAGUGCGGUAGGGGAGAUUGGAAUUCCUGGUGUAGCGGUGAAAUGCGCAGAUAUCAGGAGGAACACCGGUGGCGAAGGCGGGUCUCUGGGCCGAUAUCGACGCUGAGGAGCGAAAGCGUGGGGAGCGAACAGG